UACGGGGGGGGCAAGCGUUGUGCGGAAUUACUGGGCGUAAAGGGCGCGUAGGCGGGUGGACAAGUCUCUCGUGAAAGCCCUCGGCUCAACCGUGGAAUUGCGGGAGAUACUAUCUGUCUUGAGUCCGGGAGAGGAGGGUGGAAUUCCCAGUGUAGCGGUGAAAUGCGUAGAUAUUGGGAGGAACACCGGUGGCGAAGGCGGCUCUCUGGACCGGUACUGACGCUGAGGCGCGAAAGCUAGGGGAGCAAACGGG
rnacentral:rRNA from 1 species